rnacentral:rRNA from 1 species
AUUGAACGCUGGCGGCAGGCUUAACACAUGCAAGUCGAGCGGGGGAAGGUAGCUUGCUACCGGACCUAGCGGCGGACGGGUGAGUAAUGCUUAGGAAUCUGCCUAUUAGUGGGGGACAACAUCUCGAAAGGGAUGCUAAUACCGCAUACGUCCUACGGGAGAAAGCAGGGGAUCUUCGGACCUUGCGCUAAUAGAUGAGCCUAAGUCGGAUUAGCUAGUUGGUGGGGUAAAGGCCUACCAAGGCGACGAUCUGUAGCGGGUCUGAGAGGAUGAUCCGCCACACGGGGACUGAGAAACGGCCCAGACUCCUACGGGAGGCAGCAGUGGGGAAUAUUGGACAAUGGGGGGAACCCUGAUCCAGCCAUGCCGCGUGUGUGAAGAAGGCCUUAUGGUUGUAAAGCACUUUAAGCGAGGAGGAGGCUGCUUUAGUUAAUACCUGGAGAUAGUGGACGUUACUCGCAGAAUAAGCACCGGCUAACUCUGUGCCAGCAGCCGCAGUAA